GAUGAACGCUGGCGGCGUGUCUAAUACAUGCAAGUCGAGCGAACAGAUAAGGAGCUUGCUCCUUUGACGUUAGCGGCGGACGGGUGAGUAACUCGUGGGUAACCUACCUAUAAGACUGGGAUAACUUCGGGAAACCGGAGCUAAUACCGGAUAACAUUUGGAACCGCAUGGUUCUAAAGUGAAAGAUGGUUUUGCUAUCACUUAUAGAUGGACCCGCGCCGUAUUAGCUAGUUGGUAAGGUAACGGCUUACCAAGGCGACGAUACGUAGCCGACCUGAGAGGGUGAUCGGCCGCACUGGAACUGAGACACGGUCCAGACUCCUACGGGAGGCAGCAGUAGGGAAUCUUCCGCAAUGGGCGAAAGCCUGACGGAGCAACGCCGCGUGAGUGAUGAAGGGUUUCGGCUCGUAAAACUCUGUUAUUAGGGAAGAACAAAUGUGUAAGUAACUGUGCACGUCCUGACGGUACCUAAUCAGAAAGCCACGGCUAACUACGUG
rnacentral:rRNA from 1 species